rnacentral:rRNA from 1 species
CGCGUAGGUGGUUUUUAAAGUCGUCUGUGAAAUCUCCAGGCUUAACUUGGAGCUUGCAGAUGAUACUGAUUAACUUGAGUGCAGUAAGGGAAAGUGGAAUUCCUGGUGUAGCGGUGAAAUGCGCAGAUAUCAGGAAGAACACCGGUAGCGAAGGCGGCUUUCUAGGCUGCUACUGACACUGAGGCGCGAAAGCUAGGGGAGCGAACA